UACGUAGGGUGCAAGCGUUGUCCGGAAUUAUUGGGCGUAAAGAGCUCGUAGGCGGUCUGUCGCGUCGGAUGUGAAAACCCAGGGCUCAACCCUGGGAUGCCGGUGGAUACUGUCGGGGCUAGAGUGCGGAAGAGGCGAGUGGAAUUCCUGGCGUAGCGGUGAAAUGCGCAGAUAUCAGGAGGAACACCAAUUGCGAAGGCAGCUCGCUGGGACGUAACUGACGCUGAGACGCGAAAGCGUGGGGAGCAAACAGG
rnacentral:rRNA from 1 species